rnacentral:rRNA from 1 species
UACGAAGGGGGGCUAGCGUUGCUCGGAAUUACUGGGCGUAAAGCGCACGUAGGCGGUCUUUUAAGUCGGGGGUGAAAUCCUGGAGCUCAACUCCAGAACUGCCUUUGAUACUGAGGAUCUUGAGUUCGGGAGAGGUGAGUGGAACUGCGAGUGUAGAGGUGAAAUUCGUAGAUAUUCGCAAGAACACCAGUGGCGAAGGCGGCUCACUGGCCCGAUACUGACGCUGAUGCACGAAAGCUAGGGGAGCAAACAGG